UGUUGCGCGCUCUCUCGUGUUGCGUAUCUCUCAUGGACCGCAUGAUAGAAGAAGUGGCUUCUCUUUUAUGGAUUGCUGUUAGGAGAUGAAGGUUGACUUUGUUUUGGAAAUGAUGUCAGUGCUUUUCAGAGCAUGACAUGGCCCAAUGAAUGUCUUUGCUUUAAGUUUCUUGUUCUAUGGAACUAAUGCAUCUGCCAACAAACAUCCUGAUAUGCGACAGGAAACACAAUUGCGAACCUUAGAGCUUUUGAGUGGCAUUUAAUUAUUAUACUUUCCUGAUGGAACAAUGCAGCUGCACGGUGGUUUCAUUUCUUAUUCCUUCUUGUUGAACUGGUGGCUGUCACGGGAACACUGCUUGGCACCUAUCCUCAUAGAAAGCACAAGUCACUUUGGUUGCAAGAAAGCAUAAGAAUGUGAUCCAACUCAAGCCACAUUGAUAAAGAGGCAUUGUACCUGAAGAAAAAUCCUUUGAAAGCAGACUUCUUAUUGCAAAAACUGCUUGUGCUUGGCUUACAGAGUCUUGUUUACAUUUGAACUAAUUAUACUUGACUCGUUGUGUUUUGUUUAAAAUGAUAUUAGAAUAUCAAGAGAAGUUGUCUUGAAUUAAGAUGUGCCUUUCUUCCUGUGUUCAGAGUUGUUUUGUAACUAAUGUAUAAAAGGUGAUUGUUUUUA